UACGUAGGGUGCAAGCGUUGUCCGGAAUUAUUGGGCGUAAAGAGCUCGUAGGCGGUUCGUCGCGUCGGCUGUGAAAUCCCGAGGCUCAACCUCGGGUCUGCAGUCGAUACGGGCGGACUGGAGUUCGGCAGGGGAGACUGGAAUUCCUGGUGUAGCGGUGAAAUGCGCAGAUAUCAGGAGGAACACCGGUGGCGAAGGCGGGUCUCUGGGCCGUAACUGACGCUGAGGAGCGAAAGCAUGGGGAGCGAACAGG
rnacentral:rRNA from 1 species